rnacentral:rRNA from 1 species
UACGUAGGGGGCUAGCGUUGUCCGGAAUCAUUGGGCGUAAAGCGCGUGUAGGCGGUUCGUUAAGUCCGCUGUGAAAGUCGGGGGCUCAACCCUCGGAUGCCGGUGGAUACUGGCGAGCUCGAGUACGGAAGAGGCGAGUGGAAUUCCUGGUGUAGCGGUGAAAUGCGCAGAUAUCAGGAGGAACACCAAUUGCGAAGGCAGCUCGCUGGGACGUUACUGACGCUGAGACGCGAAAGCGUGGGGAGCAAACAGG